UACAGAGGUCCCAAGCGUUGUUCGGAUUCACUGGGCGUAAAGGGUGCGUAGGUGGCCAGGAAAGUCUGAUGUGAAAUCUCCGAGCUCAACUCGGAAAUGGCAUUGGAAACUAUUUGGCUAGAGGGUCGGAGGGGGGACUGGAAUUCUCGGUGUAGCAGUGAAAUGCGUAGAUAUCGAGAGGAACGCCAGUGGCGAAGGCGGCUCACUGGCCCGGUACUGACGCUGAGGUGCGAAAGCGUGGGGAGCAAACAGG
rnacentral:rRNA from 1 species